GGAUUAGAUACCCUGGUAGUCCACGCCCUAAACGAUGUCAGCUGAUUGUUCGGAAAGCAAUUUCUGGGUAACCAAGCCAACGCGUGAAGCUGACCGCCUGGGAAGUACGGUCGCAAGAUUAAAACUCAAAGGAAUUGACGGGGACCCGCACAAGCGGUGGAUGAUGUGGAUUAAUUCGACGCAACGCGAAAAACCUUACCUAGCCUUGACAUGUCAGGAAUCCGGAUGAAAGUCUGGAGUGCCCGCAAGGGAGCCUGAACACAGGUGCUGCAUGGCUGUCGUCAGCUCGUGCCG
rnacentral:rRNA from 1 species